rnacentral:rRNA from 1 species
UACGUAGGGGGCAAGCGUUGUCCGGAAUUAUUGGGCGUAAAGAGCGCGUAGGCGGUCUGUCGCGUCGGCUGUGAAAUCCCGAGGCUCAACCUCGGGUCUGCAGUCGAUACGGGCAAACUGGAGUACUGCAGGGGAGACUGGAAUUCCUGGUGUAGCGGUGAAAUGCGCAGAUAUCAGGAGGAACACCGGUGGCGAAGGCGGGUCUCUGGGCAGUAACUGACGCUGAGGAGCGAAAGCGUGGGGAGCGAACAGG